AAAGAUCCUAGAGGAGCAAGAUAGACCACUCCUCGAAAAACGCGUAGUAUGACGUGUGUGAUCGUCGACGCCAUUUUUCGAGGCAUUUAUUGGGCUUCCCCCACACUGUCAUGGCGUCCUUAUCUAAAUUUCAUCUCACUGCUCUGCUAUCAAGUAUUCUAAUCGUAAAUCUAAACGACCCGACCUGUCAUUCUUUAGGUUCCCCAAUAAAAAAGAAAGAUGUCAACAGUGGGUCCAGAAUACUCAUCGACAAGAUCUCCUGCACCGAACUGCAGAGUAUUUGUCAAAUAACUGCCGUCUUAUGUACAUUGUGUGAAAUUGUGAUUUGUUAACUGCACAAAACUAAUGCAAAUGGCGAUAUAUUUAUUAUUGUAUCUACGUUGGACAUUUUGCUCUUUGGUGUCAGAACGCGGGGUGGGAGAUUGCAACCUUCACGUGGUCCGCCCUGUUUCGACAAAUGCAAUCAACCCGGUGUGCACAGUCAAAUAAGAUCAAAUAGAACAAGUUGUCCUACAACUUUAGGCUGUGCACGCCAUACGCAAUAAGAAGAAGAAGAAGUGUCAGAACGCAGUCUGAAGAAGGCUUCCGACCUGCAACGUCACCUAUUCCUUUUCUCCAGAGAUGCUGCCUGACCCACUGAGUUACUCCAGCAUUUUGUGUCUAUCUCUGUUUAGAUUGGACUCGUGGGUGGAGAUUGCGGCUGGUCUGGUGAUCUAGAACGAGGGCCAAAGUCUCAGAAUAUGGGUCAUGAUAUUUAGUAAUGAGACAAGGAGCAGUUUCUUCACUCAAGGGCUGGGAAUCUUGGAAUUCUUUAUCGCGUGAGAUGGUGGAAGUCGAGCCCUUGAAAGGAGAGAUAUUUUUUUUCAAAUACGAAAAGGAUGAAGGAUAAUGGAGAGAAUGUGGGAAUAAGGUGUUGAGUUGCAGGAUCAACAAUAAUCUUACUGAUGGUGGUGUGAACUUAGAUGGCUUAUCCUUGCUUCUAUUUCUUACAGAGACACAGCACGGAAACAGGCCCUUUGGCCCACCGCGUCCGCAUUGACCAGCGAUCCCCGCACACUAACACCAUCCUACACACACUAGGGACAAUUUACACUUAUACCAAGCCUACAAACCUGUAUGUCUUUGGAGUGUGGGAGGAAACCGAAGAUCUCGGAGAACACCCAUUCAGUCACGGGGAGAAUGUACGAACUCAGUACAGACAGCACCCACUGUAAGGCAGCAACUUUACUGCUGCACCACCAUGCCGCCCUUAAUCCACUAGGGCACUAGGUUACAAUAAACUUCCUACAUAUUCCAGGAAUGCAUCUCAUAAAAAUGGGAGAGGUUUAAAUGCAUUGUAAAAUCUGCUCUCAGUUUCCUAGAUCGGUAUUGCUCUAAUGGCCUCUUUGUAUCAUUUUCUUUGAUUUAAACCAUCCAUUGUUUUGCAUUUAGAUUUUAUUUUUCCCCUGUGGAUCACAAGGCACUGUUUGUUUCAGGGGUGACUCUAAUCUCCAGCGUAAUUUGACAAGACAGCCAAGAGGGCAAACACAGGCAGUUCAGAGCUGCUGCCUGUAUCGCAUGAGAGAACAAGAAUGAGACCAACUUGUUUUUUGCAGAUCAUCAACCCCUGACUGAUGUUAUCAAUGCCGAUGGUGACUCAAGGAGACUCAACCAGGUGGUGGUUUACAAAGGUCCAUGCCCAUUGUUCCUCAUGGCAUACCACCAGCCUCAACAGAUCACCUAGUCAUAGAGUCUCACAGCGUAGAAGCAGGCCCUUCAGCUCAACUUGCCCACGCUGGCCAACAUGUCCCAUCUACACUAGUCCCACAUGACUGCAUUUGGCCCAUACCCCUCUAAACCUGUCCUAACCAUCAAAUAACCUAACAGAACUGUCAUAUGAGGAAAGAUUUAAAAGACUAGGCUUGUAUUCACUGGAGUUUAGAAGGAUGAGGGGGGAUCUUAUCAUAUUGUUUACAGUGUACUAUGUUUACAGAUUCUGUUGUGCUGCUGAAAGUAAGAAUUUAAUUGUUCUAUCUGGGACAAGCUAGAUGCAGGAAAUUGUUCUACAUGACAAUAAAACACUCUUGUUAGAUGCAAGGGGAUCUUAUAGAAACAUCUAAAUGAAUAAAAGGACUGAACAAGCUAGAUACAGGAAAAAUGUUCCCAAUGUUGGGCGAGUCCAGAACCAGGGGCCACAGUCUUAGAACAAAGGGGAGGCCAUUUAA